GUGUAUAAAUAACGCGAUCUUUCUUCGUCACAUCCUCUUUCCGUUGCUGUUCUCACUUUGAGAAACUUCUCCACACGAUGAGAGCAAAGUGGAGGAAGAAGCGUAUGCGCAGGCUGAAGCGUAAAAGGAGAAAGAUGAGGCAGAGGUCAAAGUAAGCCCUCAUUGCAUCAGCUGUGAUCCUGUCAAAGCCUCGCCAGAUGACUUGACCCCCCCCCUCCUUCAGUGGAUUGAAAGCCUCCACCCCGAUGUCUGACAACAGAGCCUCUAACUGAGCACGCUGUGGACAUCUGACUGGAAGAUGGAUGACACUGGACGGAUCUCUCACCAUCAGAACUGCAGCUGCUUUGUUCAUGGACCAGAAUACGAUCUCUUGACCUUCAUGUGGUGUAUUGAACAAUAAAUGAACACUGUUAAAACUUAA